rnacentral:rRNA from 1 species
GAUGAACGCUGGCGGCGUGCCUAAUACAUGCAAGUCGAGCGAACAGAUGAGGAGCUUGCUUCUCUGAAGUUAGCCGCGGACGGGUGAGUAACACGUGGAUACCCUACCUAUAAGACUGGGAUAACUUCGGGAAACGGGAGCUCCUACCGGAUAAUAUAUUGAACCGCACUGUUUAUUAGUGAAAGACGCUUUUGCUGUCACGCAUAGAUGGAUCCGCGGCGCAUUAGCAAGGUGGUAAGGUACCGGCUUACCAAGGCAACGAUGCGUAGCCGACGUGUGACGGGGAUCGACAACACGAGAACUAAGACAGGUACCAUACUCAUACGGAAAGCAGCAGUAGGAAAAGUUCCGCAAUGGGCAAAAGCCGUACGGAGCAACGGCGCGUGAGUGAUGAAGAUCAACGGAUCGUAAAACGCUGUUAUAAGGGAAGGACAAAUGUAAAAGCAACUAGGCGCGACUUGACGGUACCAAGUCAGAAAGCCACGGCUAACUACGUG